GGCUACCUAGCGCAAUGGUAGCGCGUUUGGCUUCGAUUGCCAGACGGCACCAAAAGGUUGCAGGUUCGAGUCCUGCGGUGGUCA